rnacentral:rRNA from 1 species
AGAGUUUGAUUCUGGCUCAGGAUGAACGCUAGCUACAGGCUUAACACAUGCAAGUCGAGGGGCAGCAUUAGAUUAGCUUGCUAAUUAGAUGGCGACCGGCGCACGGGUGAGUAACGCGUAUCCAACCUUCCCCCUGCUCAGGGAUAGCCCGGUGAAAACCGGAUUAAGACCUGAUAGUUUCACUAGAUGGCAUCUGACGGUGAAUAAAGGUUUCGGCAAGGGAUGGGGAUGCGUCUGAUUAGCUUGUUGGCGGGGUAACGGCCCACCAAGGCGACGAUCAGUAGGGGUUCUGAGAGGAAGGUCCCCCACAUUGGAACUGAGACACGGUCCAAACUCCUACGGGAGGCAGCAGUGAGGAAUAUUGGUCAAUGGGCGGAAGCCUGAACCAGCCAAGUAGCGUGCAGGAAGACGGCCCUAUGGGUUGUAAACUGCUUUUGUGCGGGAAUAAAGUCAGGGACGCGUCCCUGUUUGCAUGUACCGCAAGAAUAAGGACCGGCUAAUUCCGUGCCAGCAGCCGC